GUGAACGCUGGCGGUAGGCCUAACACAUGCAAGUCGAACGGCAGCACAGUAAGAGCUUGCUCUUACGGGUGGCGAGUGGCGGACGGGUGAGGAAUACAUCGGAAUCUACUUUUUCGUGGGGGAUAACGUAGGGAAACUUACGCUAAUACCGCAUACGACCUACGGGUGAAAGCAGGGGAUCUUCGGACCUUGCGCGAUUGAAUGAGCCGAUGUCGGAUUAGCUAGUUGGCGGGGUAAAGGCCCACCAAGGCGACGAUCCGUAGCUGGUCUGAGAGGAUGAUCAGCCACACUGGAACUGAGACACGGUCCAGACUCCUACGGGAGGCAGCAGUGGGGAAUAUUGGACAAUGGGCGCAAGCCUGAUCCAGCCAUACCGCGUGGGUGAAGAAGGCCUUCGGGUUGUAAAGCCCUUUUGUUGGGAAAGAGAAGCAGCAGGUUAAUACCCCGCUGUUCUGACGGUACCCAAAGAAUAAGCACCGGCUAACUUCGUG
rnacentral:rRNA from 1 species